GUGGGGAAUAUUGGACAAUGGGCGCAAGCCUGAUCCAGCCAUGCCGCGUGAGUGAUGAAGGCCUUAGGGUUGUAAAGCUCUUUUGUCCGGGAAGAUAAUGACUGUACCGGAAGAAUAAGCCCCGGCUAACUUCGUGCCAGCAGCCGCGGUAAUACGAAGGGGGCUAGCGUUGUUCGGAAUCACUGGGCGUAAAGCGCACGUAGGCGGACCAUUAAGUCAGGGGUGAAAGCCUGGAGCGAAACUUCAGAACUGCCUUUGAUACUGAUGGUCUCGAGUAUGGAAGAGGUUGGUGGAACUGCGAGUGUAGAGGUGAAAUGCGUAGAUAUUCGCAAGAACACCGGUGGCGAAGGCGGCCAACUGGUCCAUUACUGACGCUGAGGUGCGAAAGCGUGGGGAGCAAACAGGAUUAGAUACCCCGGUAGUCC
rnacentral:rRNA from 1 species